rnacentral:rRNA from 1 species
UCUGGUUACUAUAGCAGAGAGGAUACACCUGUUCCCAUUCCGAACACAGAAGUUAAGCUCUCUAGCGCUGAUGGUACUUGGGGCGAAGGCCCCCGGGAGAGUAGGUCGUAGCCAGGU